UGCAAUCAGACCUGCCUUCCACAGGAU
rnacentral:piRNA from 1 species